CCCGUUCUCUCCUCCUCCUGCGUCCUCCAUCUCUCUGCUCUCAUUUUCUAAUAUUGAGGACGUUCUGACUACAGGCUACCGCUGCCGCUCCUGACAUAAAUUAUUCCGUUAAUCUCAUCAUCCCAUUUAGAACGUGAAGCAGCACAGAGCUGACCUUAUAAAGUCUCCUCCAGACCACGCCACACCUCUGUCCAUGGAGGCCAAGGCCAAGUCCACGACUCCGGCACCCAAGGCAGCGUCUAAAGCAGAGAAGAAGGAGCCGGCUGCCCCACGCAAGGCUGACCCGGCCCCUGCCACCCCGGAGCCCGAGGUUCCUCCACCUCAGGAUGGGGAGACGGAUGCAGGUGCUGAUGCUGCAGCCUCUGGCACAGACUCUCUGGAACAUCUGAAACCCUUUCUCAUCGGUGGCGCGGUGAUUGCUGCAGGGGCCGUCUUACUCGGGCUUUUGCUGCUGGCGAGAAGAAAUUGAACCCACAAUUGUCAUCUCAAUUUAUAUAACUCAUGAGGUGAUCAUUUACUGUGUCAUUUCAAACCGAAUUGGUUCACAGACUAUCACUGUUAAUGACAAUGACAAUUCCGAUCUUCUAUUUAUCGACUUACAUUACUGAGGGUCUGCACUAACAAAAUGUGCCCAUUUUAAUAUAUUUAUGAGGCAUUGAUACUAAUGAAAUAUGCAUGAAACAUUUAACUGCUUCUAGAACGUUAUCCUGAAGUUAAAUAGAAAGACCUCUGUGGGACACAAUUGGCUUUAUCUCCUUUAAAUCAGGUUUGCUCACUCUGUUGCAAUAUUUGUGUUGCAUUCCUGAACAUAAUAUGAUUCUAGAAGAAUUGAGGCACAACACAAAGCUUCAAGUUUGUUUUGCAAGUGUGUAUAGACAUUUUAACAGAAAUGUAGAUUAUUUGCACAUAUAAAGAGGAAGUGACGAUGAAAAGAAUAAGAAAACACAUUUCUGUGUUAAAACAAAACACGCUUUUCAAUAAAAAAGCCAAAGUUUUGCCACUGAUGUAAUAUGGCAUUGGGGUGUGUGGAGCGCAAUGUAAGAUUAACUCUCGCAGUAGAUAAGGAAGAUGUUUGUUGCAAUGUUAAAGAUCAUGUGCUACACCAAAGCCAGAACUGUCUGUGUAUCAUAAGUACUUAUUCAAAGCUAGCCAGUAAAUAUUGCAUUAUCCAGUAUAUAUCCGCUAAACGUGGAAGCUGAUAUAUACUUUUAUUUCUCCCUUUUUUCCUGCUUUCACACUGCAUCUGUCAAUAAAUGUUGAGUAGAGUUAUUUUCCUCAAUAAAGAUACAGGAGGCAGAAUUAAAAAAAUAUAUAUAUCUAUAUAUAUUUACUCCAGAAAACAACAAAAAUCAUAUUACAGUCUGGUAUGCUCAUUUGUACAGACACAACCCCACUGUCUUUUCACAUUAAAAAAAAAAAAAAACGUUAUAUAUACUUCGGAUACGUGCCACACUUCGGUUUAAGUUGGCAUUUAGAAGUAGAUUUAACAGUCUAAAAGAUAAAUCAGAAUGAACCGAUUACCAACACCAAAACAAUGUUCAUCAUAUAUUGUACAAUAAACUGUACAAAAGAAAUCCUAUUUUCAUAACCUCAACAGCGUAUAAAUGCAAUAAUAAUGGUAGGACUCCUCAUUUAUUUAGCACAUGUGCUAGUAGCGAGUUAUUAGGUGAUGUAGAGAUGCUGAUGAUACUCAGUGUGUGUUCACAAUGAUGUAAGGGAUGAGGAUAACAGACAUGGUUGUCACUUGAAUAAGGGGAUAUGGUGCAAUUUCUAUAUAUACUUUAUUAUAGUUUCCUUUUUCACCCUCAUUUCAAUCCAAAUGUACACAAACAGGUUGUUGUUAAACCACUAUUAAACGCAGUGAACCAGCCAAAA